rnacentral:lncRNA from 1 species
CAUUCCAACUCAAACAUGUUAAAACUUCAACUUGUCAUUUCAGGGGUCAUGAAAAUACUUGGAUACAGCAAAAAAAAAAACAGCAAAGCUUCAGCAAAGAUAAUGAAAGCAAUAAUAGCUAGCAGCAGUAGCACCAAGUUUAAUCCAUAUUCCACCUAGAAAAUCAGUAAAAUAUUAAGAGCUUCAGCUUAGAAGACCAGGAUUUCUCAUGAAAAUCCUUUUGAACUCUAGGAGAAAACCAAAAGUGCAAUUUGAGCCAAACUUUUAAAAAAAAUGCAGAAAACUUUUUGAGUCUUUUUUCAGUGUAUGAGUGUCUGAUUUUUGAGUGAAAGAAAGGUCUAUAUAUAGCCUUUUUUGGGGUGCCAUGUGCCGCUGAAACAGAAUGGGAAUUUUUCCCUCACAAGGCAUCUUUCCUAAUAGAAUUGGGACAGCUGGCAGCCUUUAAUUAGCUCCAGCAUUUGUGUUGGCCAAAAUUGGGCCAGCUGCCCCAGAUUCUAGAAUUUUCCUAAAAGAAAUCUGAUCUUCUAUUCUCAAAUUAAUCUUCCAAGUUUUCAAUUGCUCAAUUAUCAUCCUAAGAGUUCCUAACAAUUACUAACUAGGAAAACAACACAAAAUAGAAAGCUAUGAGUAAAAUCAAAUCAAACAGUGAGUAAAUACUGAAAAGGGUGAAUACCCGAACCCUUAACACAAAUCAGAAAAGGUUCCAUUUCAUGAUGAACUCCCAAAAUCUAGACUUAACGGCUAUUGACAAAUUCGACUACAAUCAAGAGAAUAAUGGACAUGGAUCAUCUAGCACUGAAAUCACAAAACAAAAGGGAAACCCUAAAAUUUAAAUCAUGCAAUUAGGACCACGAAUUAUAACAGAAACAACAAAAAUAAGAAGAACGAAAAAUCAUAAUAACAUCUGACGUAGACAAAACAGAAAUCUAAACUAAUCUAAAAAUCAAAUAAACAGGAAAACCAAACAAAUUAGAGCGAGUGAAUACUAAUGGCCAAUUGAAACAAGUAAAUAACCUAGACGAACAAACCAGCAGAUGGUAAAAAAAAGGAAAAAGAAAAUCAGAAAACAAGCAAACAAAGCAAGAAUCAAAGAACAAGAGGGGGGGGUGCUGACUAACCGGAAAAAGCUUGGGGGAAUGACUUGAACCAACGAACAAGAGGGUGGAGACAUAGUAAUUUGGUCAAAGCAGCUGUGGCCCUUGAAAAUGAACCAAAACUCGUGUCAAUCAAGGGUUCUCAACGAGAACAAUUGGUUAACAUGAGUCUUGAGUCGAAUCGAACUCUGGAAGGCAAAGAUUCAAACUCAGAAGAACUAGGGUUUUCUUUACACUUUCAGAUCUGAAAUUUGGGGUAUUUGGUGGGGAUUUAAGGGAAAAUAUUUAGAGGUUUAGAAAAAGGAGAGGAUGAGGAUAGCCUGGUAAAUAUUUGGGAAGGUUUGGAGUACCGGAACCGCCGUGAGGCAAUUUCUGGUGGGUGGUUGACGGCGGAGACGACGAGGAUUUUGGGGCGGCGGUUUCUAAGUUUUGGAUUAGGGUAAAACGAAAGUGAGAGUUAG